rnacentral:rRNA from 1 species
AUUGAACGCUGGCGGCAGGCCUAACACAUGCAAGUCGAACGAGUGGCGGACGGGUGAGUAAUGUCUGGGAAACUGCCUGAUGGAGGGGGAUAACUACUGGAAACGGUAGCUAAUACCGCAUACCAUCGGAUGUGCCCAGCUGGGAUUAGCUAGGAGGGGGGGUAAAGGCUCACCUAGGCGACGAUCCCUAGCUGGUCUGAGAGGAUGACCAGCCACAUGGGAACUGGGAAACGGUCCAGCCUCCUACGGGAGGCAGCAGUGGGGAAUAUUGCCCAAGGGGCGAAAGCCGGAUGCAGCCAGGCCGCGUGUAGGAAGAAGGCCUUCGGGUUGUAAAGUACUUUCAGCGGGGAGGCGUUACCCGCAGAAGAAGCACCGGCUAACUCCGUGCCAGCAGCCGCGGUAAUAC